rnacentral:tRNA from 1 species
GCCCUUAUAGCUCAGUGGUAGAGCGCAUCACUCGUAAAUUUGCUACAUUGCUUACGUAAGCAUGAUGAGGUCCAUUGUUCAAUCCAGUGUGGGGGCA